GGGAUGAUUAAAGUACCAAACUAGUCUUUGGAUGGGAAACUUUCUUUUAAUUUUGUUACAAGUGGAAAGAAGUACAGACUGUGUGUAAAAUAUAUUUAAUAAUCUUCAGUUGAUUAAAAGUGUCUGACCUCCUGAAUAAUCCAUUUGAAACUUGGGUUAGGGAGACUAAGGCAUAUACAUUCAGUGCAAAGGUCUCCUUAGGAAUAGGGCUCAGAGUGAGGGUUUUUAAGGUCCUAUCUGCUAGGGAAGCCCUGCCAAACUUGACAUGUCAGGUCCCUGCUUAGUGUCCGUGCUGGCCCCAGUUAGCAAAAAUCAAACUUCUCAGGUUUGUAUGCCUGUAGUUUCAGACACUUGGGAGGCUGAGGUGGGAGGAUCACUUAAACCUGGGAGGUGGAGGCUGCAGUGAGCUGUGAUUGUUUCACUGCACUCCAGACUGGGUAACAGAGCAGACUUUUCUCUCAAUAGAUCCCAGUCACCUCUCCUACCUAACCUCAGCUCACUGGUCACCUGCAAGGGCUGCUCAACUUAACUAUGCGCCUACAGUUCAUGCCUUCUUUGAGUGAAAUCCAACCUCAUACCCCUUUCAAGCCUUAGUUCAAAGUUUUCCCCCUUACAGGGACCUUAGGAGAAUAGGUAGGAUAUAAUCAAUUAAAAGGGCAUUCAGGAGGGGAAGGGGAGGGGAGACCAGUAGAGGGGAGGAGAGAGGGGAAGACCUACAGAAAACUGCACUUUAACAAUAUAGCCAGGUAAUUCCUAUACACAUAAAUAUUUAAGGAGUAAUGGGUUAAACUAUGGGAUAAUUUGGUAGAUUUGUGACUAACAGAAUAGUCACAAAGUGGGCCCUAAUGAAAUGCUUGGUGUCAAUCUCUGGAGAAGUCUCCAGAAGCCCUUCCUGUUCAGUACUUUUUAUUAUUUCUUUCUUCUUCUUUUUUUUUUUUGAAUGGAGACAGGGUCUCACUAUAGUGCCCAGGCUGGUCUUGAACUCCUGGGCUCAAACCAUCCUCCCAAAGUGCUGGGAUUACAGGCAUGAGCCACCACGUCUGGCCCCCGUUCAGUCUUUUUAUAUUUACAGCAUAGGAGUUAAGAGUAUUCAUGGGCUUUGGGGUCAGACAGACUUAGGAUUGAAUUUUAAUUCUUCUACUAAUUAGUUGUAUAGCCUUGACCAAGUUUCUUAAUCUCUCUAAAAUCAGGACAAUAAUACCUAUACCUCUCAAGGACAUGGUGAGGAGUAAAUAAGAAUGCUGUGAGAAUUGAACAGAGCCCUACAUACAGCAGAUACAUGAUCUGUUUCAUUAAGCACAUCACUCAUGACAUACUAUCUUGUACUGCUGUAGCUUUGCAUGUGUGUAACUGUUCAUUUGUUUGUCCGUAUAAUAAGUCCAUUAUAAUAAGUCCAUUAUAACCUUCUGAAGGUAGGAGUCGCAUCUCCUUUUCCUUUAAAUGAUCCAGAGUGCUUAUCGCUCUCUUGUGCACACAGUGUGACUUCAAUUAACAAUGAACACAAGCACAGUGGUGUCUGGCGUUUAAUCCAGAUGCUGAAAUGUAAGCUUACCCUGAAUGGCUGGACCCCAAGCAAACAGAUAAUACCAACUCAAAUGCAGAUCAACAAU
rnacentral:lncRNA from 10 species